GCUCCAGCUAUAAAUGUCAAGCUCCUUCCCUCUCAGGAGCCCAGUGAAGACACACCAGUGUCAUCAUUCUCCUUGAAAGGAAAGAGGGAACAGUGAACUCCUCCCCAGGCCUCUGUGCCUGGAGCACCAGCUCCUGUGGAUCCACAAGUGGGCUGGCAGUUCAGGUGCAUGAGAGAUGCCAGGGACACUGUGCCUCUCAUCACUGAUCUGAUGCAGAACUUAGUUCCUAAGUUGCGUGUACAAGAGGCUGAGCGAUUAUGACCCAGACUCAAGGAAGGAGAGCAACCUGUAAAAGAUGAAUUGCCUCAUGCUCUGUAAGCCAUGCACUCCCAUUCUGGCACCAGAAUCACCCUGCAGACAGCACAGGCCUGCGGCUUCCUGUGGGUUAUCCCGUGUCACCCUCCAAAAAGGUCAUCCUUCACUGAGCUGGAGUUGAAAGACUGGUG
rnacentral:lncRNA from 1 species